AUGUGGCUGAUUUUCCAACCCAGUCCAGCCAAGAUAUAUCCGGCUAAAUGUCCACGAAACGCAAGAGCAGAGUGCUCACGAUGGCCGAGCCACGGGUGGCUGCCUGCCGGGUGGCGGCCAAACGUGCUGCCGGAGGACGGUGAAGAAGGCGCUCUCUCCUCGCCUCGUCGCGUCGUCGUUGCCGGUAAAACGGUCGCCGGCGCCCGCACCGGCAGACCGCACACUCCGCGAUACGCGGGAGCCCACAAGAUUCGAUCCGAAUAUGACGCGGCGCCUGCUCAGGUGCCACCGAACGCCGUGCCCCGGCGCCUGGCACAUGGUCGACGAAUCGAGCGAGCGUGCGUGGUUAAGCCGUCGCCGUUGCGGGAGGCUGCCGUCGUGCCCCAGCCCCACCCAUGUGCCGCCGCUAGCCGUGGUGGUCGCGACGCGAAGCGCCUCGGGGCGGCGGAGGGCCACGGGCUUUGGCCUUUGGCCUUUGGCCGUGUCAGGGUCAGACUCGAUCGGCUUGCGCAGCAUAUGAUUCGUUAG
rnacentral:rRNA from 1 species